rnacentral:lncRNA from 1 species
CAAAAUGGCGCCCGAUGAAAAUAAUUGAAAACAUUUACAUGUAAUUAAAAGGUUAGUAUAAAUUUACACAAACGUGCUCCCUUGGAUCAUUGACCACCUUCCGCUGAGGACAGAUAUUAACAGAUUGGCAGAAAACGUCCUGUACUUUAUAAACUGAAACCCAAAGUAUUUAUCCUGAUUGUUUAAACAUCUUCGAAGAAUGUGGGAAUAAUUGUUAUUGUUCUUUGCACAGGUAUGUA